UACAGAGGGGGCAAGCGUUGUUCGGAAUUACUGGGCGUAAAGGGCUCGUAGGCGGCCAACUAAGUCGGAUGUGAAAUCCCCAGGCUUAACCUGGGAAUUGCAUCCGAUACUGGAUGGCUUGAAUCCGGGAGAGGGAUGCGGAAUUCCAGGUGUAGCGGUGAAAUGCGUAGAUAUCUGGAGGAACACCGGUGGCGAAGGCGGCAUCCUGGACCGGCAUUGACGCUGAGGAGCGAAAGCCAGGGGAGCAAACGGG
rnacentral:rRNA from 1 species